GUGCCAGACGUGCGGUUGACAGUCAGCUGUUAGAAGGCGAGAGUGUCGUACGGUGCUCGGAGGUACGUGUUCCCGGCUCCCCUCUAAACCAAGGAAGGGAUGAGUCCUAGGCAUUCCAUGUUCUCAGUGAGUAGCCUCUUCUCCUGUGCCGCUGUGAGUUUCAAAAGUCAUAGGGAGACGGUCGGCGCCAACCACCUGCGACCCACAGAAAACAGAUGGUGAAAAGCUGGUACAAUCCACACACGCAUUCGAUGACCUGAC